AGACGCUUAACGACUGAGCCACCCAGUGGCCCUUAGAAUAUAGGAUUUUUAAGAUUCUCCAGCAUUGUAGUAACAUUUUAAUAGAAUUGUGCUACUUUCAGAAAAAAAAAAAGCUACUUGCAGGUGCAGCUCUUGGUGGUAGUAGCAAGUAGCAAAUACUCAAAUGAGAACUUUGAAGGCCAAAGUGGAGAAGGGUGUGGGUUAGGGUUCACCUAACAGAAACAAUCCAGGUGUCCAUUAGUUUAUGAAUAGAGAAAGUUUGGUAAAUCUGCAUAAUGGAAUACUACUCAACAAUAAAAAGAAACAAACCACUGAUGCAUGCAGUAAUGUGAAUGAAUCUCAGAGGCAUGCUAAGUUAAAGAAGUAGGACACAGAAGAUUACAUAUUCUAAGAUUCCAUUUAUGCGACAUUAUAGAAUAGGCAAAACUAUAGGGAAAGAAAAUAGGUGAGUUGUUUCCGGUGCUGGGUGUAGCAGGAGUGGAUUGACUAUAGCGGGUAUGAGGGAGCUUUUUGGGGUGAUGGAAGUGUUCUAUAUCAUGACUGUAGUAGUGGUUAUAUUACUGUAUAAUGUUUGUCAGUACUCAGAGCUGUACACCUAAAAUGGAUGAAUUUUCCUAUAAUUCCUGUAAUUAUACCUUGUUUGUUUAAAAAAUAAUGUUAAUUUUCUCCUUAUGCAGAGUAUUGCACUCUAUAUACUUGGUAAUGAGAGCUCUGUUUCUGAGGACUCCUCACAGUAUUUAUCCAGAAUAAUUAUAGCCCCCCAAAAGUCACAAGCAGAACAAGAAGAAAACAGGUUUAGUUUCAAGCAUUCUACAUCAGUUUCUAGUCUAGCUGAACAAUUAGUUGUCUGGAUGACUAACGUAGGUAAGGUAGUCCUUGUUACUUUUUACAUGUCUUUGAGAUGCUGGUGAGAACCGCCUGCUUUCCACAGAAACCUCCUUCCUCAGUAGGC